rnacentral:lncRNA from 1 species
UUCCGUCGAAGAAAUCGUAUUCAGAUCUCUCGGAAUCGGUGUCGUGGAUUUGGGGAUUGGUGCGUUGUUGUGUCUUGUGAGAGUAGUGCGAAGGUGUUUGAGUUUUGUGAGAGUAGUGAGAAGGUGUUUGAGUUUGCGUGUGUGAGAAUUUUUGUGGUUGUUCGGGGAAGUAAUCGGAAGCGGGAGGGGGUGGAGGAGGGUAGAAAUUUUCCCAGUUCCAAACGGAGGAGGUUUGGGAAGGGGUGGAGGAGUAGGUGGAAUGUGCGGUGGGGAAGAAGCUUGAAGGAAAAUUUGACCACGUGGCUUCUUGGGGUGGAGGAGGGGCUUGAGUCGGAGAGGAUGUGCGGGAGCUUCGGCGGCGGCGGUUUGCGGCGGCGGGGGUUGGUGGUGGCGAGUUUUGGCGGUGGCGGAGGAGAAGGUGAAGGGUUGAACAACGGUGGUGGUGGAGGAGAAGGAGACGGAGAAGGCU